rfam:Solanum tuberosum cultivar DM 1-3 516 R44 scf00036_6, whole genome shotgun sequence.
AGUCUAUGAGUUGGGCACAGCUGGAAGAGGUCCUUAAAUCGUUGCCACAACUCAUAAAUGGUCUCACCAUCCAAUUGCUUGAAGGUUAGGAUGUCAUCCCUGAGACU